AAGUUAUUAUGGAGGGAAACAAAGGGAACGAGAAAGGCGGGAGGAGAAAUGGAAUACGUUCUGGCACCCUAAGUGGAGAGGUCAGUGAGAGACAUUAAACUGGAAUGAUGUCAUUAUUCCUGGCUUCGUUUCAGGAGCGGCAAGCAGCCAGCGAAGCACUUUGAUGUUGUUUAUUUACGGCCGUCACCGUCGGCCAUCCACGGGCAGCGGAGGGGACUCCGGCCGCGGGUUUUCACGGGCAGCGAUCCGGAUGUCCCGGACCCUCUCUCUUCCCCCCGAAGUUUCCCCAAGACCUGUCUCUAAGAGUUCUGAAAUGCUCUCGCCCUCGGAUUAUUUCUCUCUAACAACGGUAACGACUACGGCGCCCGCUACACGCCAAACGCUGUUCUAGGAGCCGGGGGAUGUCCGUCCGUCUCCCCCGAUUAGACCGCGAGCCCGUCCCUGGGCAGGGACCGUCUCCAUCUGUCGCCGGACUGUCCAUUCCGAGCGCUCAGUACGGCGCUCCGCGCAGAGUAAGCGCUCAGUAAAUACUCCCGAACGACCAAAUGACCGAUACGAGAUUCACGGCCCACGUGGGGCUCCCGUUCUUCAGCCCCCUUUUACAGAUGAGGGAACCGAGGCACAGACGUUCAAUGGGCUCGCCUGAGGUCGUCAAGCAGACACGGGGCGGAGUCGGGAUCAGAAGCCCGGGUUCUCUCCACCAGGCCGGGCCGCUUCUCUGGAUUUACGUUACCGUCCGUCUCCCCGGCUAGACCGUGAGCUUGUCGUCGGCGAGGGACGUGCCCGUUCCGUGUUGCGCUCUGUACUCUCCCAACCGCCCGGUACGCAGCUCUGCCCACGGUAGCGAACCGCAUUCCGGGGGGAGGCCUCUCUCGGAUUCCCCUAGUUGAGACUUCGGAGCCCGGCAGAUGGUUUGGAAACGAGUACGAGCCAAUAUCCACAGGGCGAAGACCGUCCAGGCCGACGAAAUGGAAAUGUUGGCCCUCAGGUGGCACUCAAAGAACAGGAUCGACGGAUCGAUCGAUCGACCGACUGACGGAUUGGAGGAGUAGAGACCUAACCUGGAUAAAUUUCGGGCUUCAAGACCGGGGCCGGCACAACCACGUCCUUCCGCAAGAAAGAAAUAAAAUCCGAGUCGCAGGCCGCAGGUGGCAACAUUUUUA